GACGAACGCUGGCGGCGUGCUUAACACAUGCAAGUCGAACGGAAAGGCCCUGCUUUUGUGGGGUGCUCGAGUGGCGAACGGGUGAGUAACACGUGAGUAACCUGCCCUUGACUUUGGGAUAACUUCAGGAAACUGGGGCUAAUACCGGAUAGGAGCUCCUGCUGCAUGGUGGGGGCUGGAAAGUUUCGGCGGUUGGGGAUGGACUCGCGGCUUAUCAGCUUGUUGGUGGGGUAGUGGCUUACCAAGGCUUUGACGGGUAGCCGGCCUGAGAGGGUGACCGGCCACAUUGGGACUGAGAUACGGCCCAGACUCCUACGGGAGGCAGCAGUGGGGAAUAUUGCACAAUGGGCGGAAGCCUGAUGCAGCAACGCCGCGUGCGGGAUGACGGCCUUCGGGUUGUAAACCGCUUUCGCCUGUGGCGAAGCGUGAGUGACGGUAAUGGGUAAAGAAGCACCGGCUAACUACGUG
rnacentral:rRNA from 1 species